rnacentral:lncRNA from 1 species
AAAGAAGUAUUAGAAUAAAAUCUUAAAUAUAUUUUAAAAAAAUUCAAAUCAAAUCUUAAUUUAAUCUUAGUUAAAAUCCUAAAUAAAAUCCUAAAUGAAUCCUAAAUAAUCCUAAAUCCUAAAAAAAUCUUAAAUCUUAAUAAAUUCUUAAAUCCUAAAUCAAACUCUAAUCAAAUUAAUCUAUUCCUAGAACAAUAUAGAACUUCAAUAUCUAUCAAUUAUACCGUUGAUCUUACUUAAGAUUUUAUAUAUCUUUC